rnacentral:lncRNA from 1 species
AGGUUAAAAGUAUUGCGGCUAAAGUCAAGGUGGUGAAGGACCUCCUUGGCAGAACGAAGUCACAGCACCCUCAGGAGGGCGAUGGCAUGUGGUGAGGAGCUGUGGACAGGACCAGGAGGAGAGGCCAGGGCUGGAGCAAGUCUGUAUCCUGCUGCAGCCCCGUUGCCCCCAUGCUGUGGCCUGUUGCAUCCUGGAGGAAGCAGAGUGGUGCUUGUGCUGCUUCAAGAAUAAGAAUCAUGAAGCCUGGAUUAUUCAAACAAAUUCUGGGGCAGUCUUCUGACUUCAAAUGUUUCCUGGAAUGCUUUUGUGAAAAAUGAGCAGCCAAGCAGUUCUCAUCCAGUUCGUGUGUCUGAUUCUUUGUGAACAAGAGAAUCCCAGGUUCACAGCAAGCCCCAGAGUAUCCUGCAAAGCCAUCUGAGUCAAGUUACAUUUUGCACUCUGCUCAUCCCCUUGAUAAAAAAUACACACCAAAAAAUGAGCUAUCAACCAGUGAAACAGCCAUACUGUCCAGCUUUCCAUCACAGAUAAUGCCUGGUUAGCCCAACUGUGGUUUCACCCUUGAAAGUACUUUGUGUCUGCCCACAAGUGCUGUUACCUGUGCUGGGAGCAGCUCGGUGUUGGUUUGGCACCGCUCUGCAUGCUGCAGUCACGGCAUCUGAACAGAAAGCUGCAAAUUGGUACCUCUUGUUUCACAGGAGGAGAGCAAAGCAGGAUGCCUGCUCUGACGUGCCCGUGCUUGGGUCUGUGCAUGAAUUGCUCAGUGCACAGUGGCUGCACUGGGGCGGGGUGUGCAAGCAGAGAGCUGCGUGAGCACAGACGUUGCACGAGGUGUGGCAAACUCCUUUGCACGGACCAAGCGGGCAGUGGCUUUGAGGAGCUGCAGCUUUCUCAGUCUGGCAGGACUCCUCCAUUAGAUGCUUCUCAGCUCUGUGGAGAUUUGCUUCUGCUGGAUCCUGUAGUCUGA